UACACGCUGUGACUAGCAUAUCAAUAAGCGGAGGAAAAGAAACUAACAAGGAUUCCCCUAGUAACGGCGAGUGAAGCGGGAAGAGCUCAAAUUUGAAAUCUUAAAGGGUUUCCCUUUACGAAUUGUAGUUUAAAGAAGUGUUUUCUGUUGAGGUUUUGGUAAAAGUUCUUUGGAAUAGGACAUCAUAGAGGGUGAGAAUCCCAGUAUUUGACCUUUACUUUCAACUUUGUGAUACACUUUCAAAGAGUCGGAUUGUUUGGGAAUGCAGUCCAAAAUGGGUGGUAAAUUUCAUCUAAAGCUAAAUAUUGGCGAGAGACCGAUAGCGAACAAGUACCGUGAGGGAAAGAUGAAAAGAACUUUGAAAAGAGAGUUAAACAGUACGUGAAAUUGUCAAAAGGGAAGCGUUUGACACCAGUGUUGUUUUUCUGAAAAUCAAUUAAAGAACUGUUUAUGCUAAGCUGUUUAGACUUUAUCAGCUAUCUGUUUAGUUUUGAGCUUUUCUUUAAUGCACUUUUCAGUUAACAAGUCAACAUCAAUUUCUUUUGCUGUAAAAAAGCUUGAGGAAGGUGGCUUGAGAUUCGUCUUAAGUGUUUAUAGCCUCUUGCCUAUGCAGUCGGAGAGAUUGAGGUCUGCAGCGUAGAUCCUUCGGGGCUAAAUGCAUUUGUGCUAAGUUAUAGCAUUUUAUAGACAACUUGUUGACUAUGAUUUGUCUUGUAGCUUACUCGCUUAUGUUAUUUUACCUACGCUUAGGAUGUUGACGCGCGUGUGUGCGUG
rnacentral:rRNA from 1 species